UCUGGUUGAUCCUGCCAGUAGCAUAUGCUUGUCUCAAAGAUUAAGCCAUGCAUGUCUAAGUAUAAAUAGUAUACAGUGAAACUGCGAAUGGCUCUUUAAAACAGUUAUAGUCUAUUUGAUAGUGGAAGCCUACAUGGAUAACCGUAGUAAUUCUAGAGCUAAUACAUGCGUCCAAACCUGACUGAAUUGAAAGGUUGUAUUUAUUAGAUACGAAGCCAAUACCCUCUCGGGGGUGUUGUGGUGAGUCAUAGUAACUGAUCGAAUCUCUCACCUGAGAGAUAAAUCAUUCAAGUUUCUGCUCUAUCAGCUUUCGAUGGUAGUGUAUUGGACUACCAUGGCAGUCACGGGUAACGGAGAAUUAGGGUUCGAUUCCGGAGAGGGAGCCUGAGAAACGGCUACCACAUCUAAGGAAGGCAGCAGGCGCGUAAAUUACCCAAUCCUGACUCAGGGAGGUAGUGACAAGAAAUAACAACCCGGGGGAUUCACAUCCCUACGGGAUUGCAAUGAGAACAAUUUAAAUCACUUAACGAGGAUCAAUUGGAGGGCAAGUCUGGUGCCAGCAGCCGCGGUAAUUCCAGCUCCAAUAGUGUAUAUUAAAGUUGUUGCAGUUAAAAAGCUCGUAGUUGAACUUCUGACAGUGUGCAGUUUUGGUUUCUAUCAGGCUGCAUUGCUGUCAUCCGUCUGCAAACUCUGUUCAAUCUUCGCUGGUUGGCAGGGGGAGUAGACAUUUUACUUUGAAAAAAUUAGAGUGUUUCAAGCAGGUUAUUGCCAGAAUACUUUAGCAUGGAAUAAUGGAAUAGGACUCCUGUCCAUUUGGUUGGUUAUUGGACCAGAGUAAUGAUUAACAGGGACAGUUGGGGGCAUUAGUAUUUAAUUGUCAGAGGUGAAAUUCAUGGAUUUAUUAAAGACUAACUUAUGCGAAAGCAUUUGCCAAGGAUGUUUUCAUUAAUCAAGAACGAAAGUUAGGGGAUCAAAGACGAUCAGAUACCGUCCUAGUCUUAACUAUAAACGAUGUCGACUCGGGAUUGGAAAGGUUUCCAAUUAUCCUUUCCAGCACCGUAUGAGAAAUCAUUAAGUCUUUGGAUUCUGGGGGGAGUAUGGUCGCAAGGCUGAAACUUAAAGGAAUUGACGGAAGAGCACCACCAGGCGUGGGACCUGCGGCUUAAUUUGACCCAACACGGGAAAACUUAUUUCAGCAAAACAUGAGUGGGAUUGACAGAUUGAGAGCUCUUUCUUGAUUUUAUGGGGUGUGGUGCAUGGCCGUUCUUAGUUGGUGGAGUGAUUUGUCUGGUUAAUUCCGUUAACGAACGAGACCUUAACCUGCUAACUAGUCAGU
rnacentral:rRNA from 1 species